rnacentral:tRNA from 1 species
GCGGGGCUGGGCGGGUGGCGGCGGCGCGGGAGCACUUCGCGCGGGCGCGGGCGCUGUUCCGGGACUGCGGCGCCGCG